rnacentral:rRNA from 1 species
AGAGUUUGAUCAUGGCUCAGGAUGAACGCUGGCGGCACGCCUAACACAUGCAAGUCGAACGAGGUUAUUAUGAAUGAAGCCUUCGGGCGGAUUGAAUUUUAACCUAGUGGCGGACGGGUGAGUAACACGUGAGCAAUCUGCCUUUCAGAGCGGGAUACCGUUUGGAAACGAACGUUAAUACCGCAUAAUGCAGCGAAGCCGCAUGACUUUGCUGCCAAAGAUUUUAUCGCUGAAAG